AUUGAACGCUGGCGGCAGGCUUAACACAUGCAAGUCGAACGAGUGGCGGACGGGUGAGUAAUGCUUGGGAAUCUAGCUUAUGGAGGGGGAUAACUACGGGAAACUGUAGCUAAUCCCGCAUACUAUCGGCUGAACCCCUAUGGGAUUAGCUAGUAGGUGGGGUAACGGCUCACCAAGCCGACGAUCUCUAGCUGGUCUGAGAGGAUGACCAGCCACACUGGGACUGAGAAACGGCCCAGACUCCUACGGGAGGCAGCAGUGGGGAAUAUUGCGCAAUGGGGGCAACCUGACGCAGCCAUGCCGCGUGAAUGAAGAAGGCCUUCGGGUUGUAAAGUUCUUUCGGUAGCGAGGCGUUAACUACAGAAGAAGCACCGGCUAACUCCGUGCCAGCAGCCGCGGUAAUUC
rnacentral:rRNA from 1 species